rnacentral:rRNA from 1 species
GACUAACGCUGACGGUAUGCCUUAUACAUGCAAGUCGAACGGUAAGGUCUCUUCGGAGAUACACGAGUGGCGGACGGGUGAGUAACACGUAGGAAUCUACCCCAGAGUGGGGGACAACCAAGAGAAAUCUUGGCUAAUACCCCAUAUGACUUCGGUCGAAAGAUUUAUUGCUUUGGGAGGAGCCUGCGUCUGAUUAGCUUGUUGGUGAGGUAAAAGCUCACCAAGGCGACGAUCAGUAGCUGGUUUGAGAGGAUGACCAGCCACAAUGGGACUGAGAUACGGCCCAUACUCCUACGGGAGGCAGCAGUAGGGAAUUUUGCGCAAUGGAGGAAACUCUGACGCAGCAAUACCGUGUGCGGGAAGACGCUCUGCGGAGUGUAAACCGCUGUCAGAUGGGAAGAAUAAAUGACUGUACCAUCAAAGGAAGCACCGGCUAACUCUG